UUCAUUUAGCAGUUCUAAGAAUUCAUAAUCUACAUAAUCUUUGGUACACCAUGUUAAUAUUUAAUUUCAAUCAUGCUAAGAAUCAAGAAUCACCAAAUAAUAAAUUAAUAAAAACGAAUUCAUACCUGCGGAAGCCAUUGUUGAUAGGAAUUAUAGUUGUAAUAGUAGACAAGAUCUUCCCCUCCUUGCUCCUUACAAAAGUAUUAGCUAUCAACGGGGCAAGCUAAUGAAAACACAUAUGGAGAGGAGAGGGGACCUAGCCUUUAUAUAGGAAAUAAUUGAGCCGUCCCAUUACGACUAGAAUUCUAAUUAGGGUUUAUUUCCGACCCACAUACUUUAAAUUACCACAUCAAAUUAAUUACAACCCGUAAGGUGUAAAAGACCCAAUUAAUCACUUAAUAAAUUUGGCCCAAACACAAUUAUCAUUAUGAGUCAUACAUCUAACCCGUAAAAUUUGCAAUCCAAUGUGAAACCCACAUAUGGAAUAAUUAAUUAUUCCAACAUUCUUCCGCUUGGACAAACAUUUGAUUGCCAUAACAAAGUUUUAACACCCGGGUUAGACUACAUAGGUGGCCACAAAAGUAUAGCUCCAAUGAUGACACCUUACGUAACAUGAUCCGGUCCAACAAGAAUAUUAAUACCGAACAUGGAAGUUAUUAUACCAAUUUAAGAGAUGUAAGACCAUUCCACAGCUACAAAUGUCAACAUCCUUAUCGACAUGGAUCCCCAUCCUCCAACCAAUGUGGUAGUAUGUGGUAUGAACUUAGCACCAAAUGUGAUAAAAAACUGUGUUAACUCAU
rnacentral:lncRNA from 1 species